UGCCAGCCGCCGCGGUAACACGGGGGGCGCACGCGUUAUUCGGAAUUAUUGGGCGUAAGGAGCAUGUAGGCGGACUGUUAAGUCUGAUGUGAAAGCCCGGGGCUCAACCCCGGAAGUGCAUUGGAUACUGGCAGUCUUGAGUAUGGGAGAGGAAAGUGGAAUUCCGAGUGUAGGAGUGAAAUCCGUAGAUAUUCGGAGGAACACCAGUGGCGAAGGCGGCUUUCUGGACCAAUACUGACGCUGAGAUGCGCAAGCGUGGGGCGCGAACAGGAUUAGAUA
rnacentral:rRNA from 1 species